UACGUAGGUGGCAAGCGUUGUCCGGAUUUACUGGGCGUAAAGGGUGCGCAGGUGGGUUUGUAAGUCAGUGGUGAAAUUCUGCCGCUUAACGGUAGGACUGCCAUUGAUACUGCGAAUCUUGAGUGUGGUUGAGGUAGGUGGAAUGUGUUGUGUAGCGGUGAAAUGCAUAGAUAUGACACAGAACUCCGAUUGCGAAGGCAGCUUACUAAGCCAUUACUGACACUGAGGCACGAAAGCGUGGGGAGCGAACAGGAUUAGAUACCCUGGUAGUCCACGCCGUAAACGAUGUCCACUCGCUGUUUGCGAUACACAGCAAGCGGCUGAGCGAAAGCAUUAAGUGAACCACCUGGGGAGUACGAUCGCAAGGUUGAAACUCAAAGGAAUUGACGGGGGCCCGCACAAGCGGAGGAACAUGUGGUUUAAUUCGAUGAUACGCGAGGAACCUUACCUGGGCUUAAAUGUAGAUUGCAUAAGGUGGAAACAUCUUUUCCCUUCGGGGCUAUUUGCAAGGUGCUGCAUGGUUGUCGUCAGCUCGUGCCGUGAGGUGUCGGGUUAAGUCCCAUAACGAGCGCAACCCCUAUCGUUAGUUGCCAGCGGGUCAAGCCGGGGACUCUAGCGAGACUGCCACCGUAAGGUGAGAGGAAGGUGGGGAUGACGUCAAAUCAGCACGGCCCUUAUGUCCAGGGCUACACACGUGUUACAAUGGCAAGUACAAAGGGCGGCUACACGGCGACGUGAUGCUAAUCUCUAAAGCUUGUCCCAGUUCGGAUUGGAGUCUGCAACCCGACUCCAUGAAGUUGGAUUCGCUAGUAAUCGGAUAUCAGCCAUGAUCCGGUGAAUACGUUCCCGGGCCU
rnacentral:rRNA from 1 species